UACGUAGGGGGCAAGCGUUGUCCGGAUUUAUUGGGCGUAAAGAGCGUGUAGGCGGCUUUACAGGUCCGUUGUGAAAACUCGAGGCUCAACCUCGAGACGCCGGUGGAAACCGUAAGGCUAGAGUCCGGAAGAGGAGAGUGGAAUUCCUGGUGUAGCGGUGAAAUGCGCAGAUAUCAGGAGGAGCACCCGUGGCGAAAGCGGCUCUCUGGGACGGUACUGACGCUGAGACGCGAAAGCGUGGGGAGCAAACAGG
rnacentral:rRNA from 1 species